rnacentral:rRNA from 1 species
UAAGACGAACCGUGCGAACGUUGUUCGGAAUCACUGGGCUUAAAGGGCGCGUAGGCGGGCGACCAAGUCGGGGGUGAAAUCUUUCGGCUCAACCGGAAAAUAGCUUUCGAUACUGGCCGUCUUGAGGGAGGUAGGGGCAUGCGGAACUUCCGGUGGAGCGGUGAAAUGCGUUGAUAUCGGAAGGAACUCCGGUGGCGAAAGCGGCGUGCUGGAUCUCUUCUGACGCUGAGGCGCGAAAGCUAGGGGAGCAAACGGGAUUAGAUACCCCGGUAGUCCUAGCCCUAAACGAUGGGUACUAGGUUGUGGACUAGACAUGGGUUCACAGCCGAAGCCAAAGUGCUAAGUACCCCGCCUGGGGAGUAUGGUCGCAAGGCUG